ACACCUGACGUCGCGACGCAUAUCAAUAAGCGGAGGAAAAGAAACUAACUAGGAUUCCCUUAGUAACGGCGAGUGAAGCGGGAAGAGCUCAAAUUUGAGAUCUUCAAGGUUCUACCUUGACGAAUUGUAGUUUAAAGAAGUGUUUUCUGUUGGAGUUUUGGUAAAAGUUCUUUGGAAUAGGACAUCAUAGAGGGUGAGAAUCCCGUACUUGACCAUUUCUUCCAGCUGUGUGAUACACUUUCAAAGAGUCGGAUUGUUUGGGAAUGCAGUCCAAAAUGGGUGGUAAAUUUCAUCUAAAGCUAAAUAUUGGCGAGAGACCGAUAGCGAACAAGUACCGUGAGGGAAAGAUGAAAAGAAUUUUGAAAAGAGAGUUAAACAGUACGUGAAAUUGUCAAAAGGGAAGCGUUUGACACCAGUGUUGUUUUCUCGAAAAUCAAUUAAAAGGAGCCGGAUUUUGUGUUGUUAAGACUUUAUCAGCUUACUGCACUUUUUUCUUGUUCUUUUUAAUGCACUUUUCGUUUAACAAGUCAACAUCAAUUUCUUUUGUUGUAAAAGGGUCAUUGGAAGGUGGCUUUCAUUUCGGUGAAAGUGUUUAUAGCCUUUGACCUCUGCAAUCGGAGAGAUUGAGGUCUGCAGCGUAGAUCCUUCGGGGUUAGAUACAUUUGUGCUAAGUUAUAGUUUUUCAUAGACAACUUGUUGACUAUGAUUAAUCAUGUAGCUUACUCGCUUAUGCUAUUUUACCUACGCUUAGGAUGUUGAGUAGCGACAUACGCAC
rnacentral:rRNA from 1 species